UACGUAGGGUGCAAGCGUUGUCCGGAAUUAUUGGGCGUAAAGAGCUCGUAGGCGGUUUGUCGCGUCUGCUGUGAAAACUGGAGGCUCAACCUCCAGCCUGCAGUGGGUACGGGCAGACUAGAGUGCGGUAGGGGAGAUUGGAAUUCCUGGUGUAGCGGUGGAAUGCGCAGAUAUCAGGAGGAACACCGAUGGCGAAGGCAGAG
rnacentral:rRNA from 1 species